GUUUACAAAUCUGGCGGACUCCUACUCAAAACAAUCCACUUGCACACUGAAGGAAAGCCUAGAGAGUGAGCUAGACCCCGAGGAAUUGAAGCUUUGGCUGGGAAUCCCUCCUGCAGUUCCGUUGGCUGGCAGAGGGCACGGUGCCCUGGUCAACAAUGCCCUAGUCUGUAUCAGUGGAAGAGAGGGAUUCCCGUCAAGGAGCCCAGGAUGCACUUACUAAAAGUACAGCUUCAUCGAGAUAUAAUUCCUAUAUUAUAAAAUUCCCUCACUUAAAGCAAAAAUCACUCAGUGAUUUUUAGUGUAUUCAUAGAGUUGUCAACCAUCAACUGAUUGGUCAAUUGAUUGUGGAAUCAAUUUGAGAAUAUUUUCAUCACUCCAAGAAGAAAUUCUAUAUCCAUCCGUUUCUACCCAUUUUCCUCAAUUCACUUCCAGGCCAGUGCUGUAUUAACCGUGUUUCUGAUGUUUUGACAUCUGGUGCCUUGCUGACCCUGGAGAGACCAUGCCUCCGGGGCCAGCCAGUUCCUGCAGACAGUGAACAGCUGGCCUGUAAGUGAGCCUUUCAUACACAAACCAAGUCCGGAGCCCACAGGCCCAGCUACCCACCUGGGACGGUAUUCCUCUAUCCUAGUCAUCCCAGGGCCAGGUACUGAAAUCCCAGAACCUGCUGAAAUUAUUCAAACUAGCCAAUCCUAAACCUGUUUAACCUGUCUCACCGGUUACUUC